GACCCUGUAGCGCAGCCGGUAGCGCUUUUGGUUAUCAGCCAGACUAGCCUGAGUUCGAACCCACCUGGCUCA
rfam:Caenorhabditis brenneri strain PB2801 C_brenneri-6.0.1_Cont1127.1, whole genome shotgun sequence.